AUGAGUUCUUCGAUUCGUCGGAUUCAGGUGAAGAAGUGGACAUUCAUGCUCAUGAGCAUGCAAGAGAAAAUGGACCAGCAAGUGGAGCAUAUUCUCAACUUCAAGGGCUCAAUCAAAGGUAGAAGAGUGAUUAAUCGGGUUAGGGUGUCCGGAGCAUGGCUACCGCGCAAUGACUACUUUGCUCCAAACCCAACUUUCCUGGACAAUCCAUGGUUUUGUCGCCGUUUUCGCAUGCGAAAACCAUUGUUUUUGCGCAUUAUGGAGGGAGUGGAGGCACAUGAUGGCUACUUCAGGCUCACAAGGGAUUGCUGCGGCCAACUUUCUUUUUGUGCUAAGUAG
rnacentral:rRNA from 1 species